CCUACGGGCGGCAGCAGUGAGGAAUAUUGGUCAAUGGGCGGAAGCCUGAACCAGCCAAGUAGCGUGCGGGAUGACGGCCCUACGGGUCGUAAACCGCUUUUGCACGGGGAUAACACCCUCCACUUGUGGAGGUCUGCAGGUACCGUGCGAAUAAGGGCCGGCUAAUUCCGUGCCAGCAGCCGCGGUAAUACGGAGGGUCCGAGCGUUAUCCGGAUUCAUUGGGCUUAAAGGGUGCGUAGGCGGUCGGUCAAGUUAGCGGUAAAAUCGCGGGGCUCAACCGCGCCCCGCAGUUGAAACUGGACGCCUUGAGUUCACAAGAGGCAGGCGGAAUGCGUGGUGUAGCGGUGAAAUGCAUAGAUAUCACGAGGAACCCCGAUUGCGAAGGCAGCCUGCCGGGGUGCGACUGACGCUGAGGCUCGAAGGUGCGGGUAUCAAACAGGAUUAGAUACCCUUGUAGUC
rnacentral:rRNA from 1 species